AAAGUCGUAACAAGGUUUCCGUAGGUGAACCUGCGGAAGGAUCAUCAAUGAAUUUUUUGUUGGUUUAUCUUGUCCUUUUUGGGUGAGACGGCCACACAAAAAAAACAAUCUCCGUCAACUUGUUGCAUUUGUAUGAAUGACGUGGGUCGCUUUUGGGGGGAAGCUCUCAAACGGCCCACCUUUUUUACUACACUAGAAAUUUUUCAAAAAUAUCUUGCAUUUAUACAAAGAAACACACAAUAUACAACUUUCAACAAUGGAUCUCUUGGCUCUC
rnacentral:misc_RNA from 1 species